rnacentral:rRNA from 1 species
AGUGAACGCUGGCGGUAGGCCUAACACAUGCAAGUCGAACGAACAGACAGUGAGAGCUUGCUCUUGACGGUAGCGACUGACGGGCGGGUGAGAAAUACAUCGGCUUCUUCUUUUUCUUGGGGAAUUACGUAGGGAAGCUUACGCUAAUACCUCAUACGACGUACGGGUGAAAUCAGGAGAUCUUCGGACUUUGCGCGAUUGAAUGAGCCGGUGUCGGAUUAGCUUGUUGGCGGGGUAAAGUCCCACCAAGGCGACGAUCCGUAGCUGAUCUGAGAGGAUGAUCAGCCACACUGGAACUGAGACACGGUCCAGACUCCUACGGGAGGCAGCAGUGGGGAAUAUUCCACAAUGGGCGCAAGCCUGAUCCAGCCAUACCGCGUGAGUGAAGAAGGUCUUCGGGUUGUAAAGCCCUGUUGUUGGGAAAGAAAAGCAGCAUAUUAAAACCCCGCUGUUCUGACGGUACCCAAAGAGAAAGCACCGGCUAACUUCGUG